ACGAUAACGGCGUCGAGGGCGGACGGGUGAGUAAUGCCUAGGAAAUUGCCCUGAUGUGGGGGAUAACCAUUGGAAACGAUGGCUAAUACCGCAURAUGCCUACGGSCAAAGAGGGGGACCUUCGGGCCUCUCGCGUCAGGAUAUGCCUAGGUGGGAUUAGCUAGUUGGUGAGGUAAGGGCUCACCAAGGCGACGAUCCCUAGCUGGUCUGAGAGGAUGAUCAGCCACACUGGAACUGAGACACGGUCCAGACUCCUACGGGAGGCAGCAGUGGGGAAUAUUGCACAAUGGGCGCAAGUSWAWGCAGCCAUGCCGCGUGUGUYAAGAAGGSCUUCGGGUUGUAAAGSACUUUCAGUCGUGAGGRAGGKRGKGKAGKUAAUAGCUGCAUUAUUUGACGUUAGCSACAGAAGAAGCACCGGCUAACUCCGUGCCAGCAGCCGCGGUAAUACGGAGGGUGCKAGCGUUAAUCGGAAUUACUGGGCGUAAAGCGCAUSRGGUGGKUUGUUAAGUCAGAUGUGAAAGCCCGGGGCUCAACCUCGGA
rnacentral:rRNA from 1 species